ACGAAGGGGGCUAGCGUUGUUCGGAAUUACUGGGCGUAAAGCGCACGUAGGCGGACUAUUAAGUCAGGGGUGAAAUCCCGGGGCUCAACCCCGGAACUGCCUUUGAUACUGGUAGUCUCGAGUCCGGAAGAGGUGAGUGGAAUUCCGAGUGUAGAGGUGAAAUUCGUAGAUAUUCGGAGGAACACCAGUGGCGAAGGCGGCUCACUGGUCCGGUACUGACGCUGAGGUGCGAAAGCGUGGGGAGCAAACAG
rnacentral:rRNA from 1 species